rnacentral:rRNA from 1 species
AUGUCCAGCGACGACGAGCUCCGUGACCUCCUGGUCCAGGAAGCCACCACCGCGAUCAUCUCCGGCGCCGAUCCCUCCCGCCCCACGGCCCGAUCGGCCCACUUCCUCCUCCCCCGCGCGGGGGGCGCUCGCCUCCCUGCUCUGCCAUCCCCGCCCCGCAAUGCCGGCCCUGUUCUUGGCGACCAGCUCCCUGUCGAUUGGACGGCCUGGCCCGGCUCCUCGAAGCUGUGGAGGCGGUGGGUGGCCAGGCUUCGGCCGCGGCAUGAGCGCCUCUGGCGGAAGCUUGGGAUCUUCGCCGCUGUCCUCGCGACCACCGGCUGGGUGCGGCGGCACGAGGGCCUGCUGCUCCAGCUUGCGGGUUUCUGGUCCGGCGAGACCAACACGUUCCUCUUCCCGUGGGGCGAGGCCACGGUGACGUUGGAGGACAUGGCCGUGCUCGGGGGCCUGCCCCUGCUGGGCAGGCCGGUGUGGUCGCGGCUGCCGGACGAGCUCCGCGGGGACGUGGACGCGCUGGAAGCCGUCCGAAUCGCGCUGAGCAGAUGCACGAACAGAAAAGCCGCGUUUGCCCCGUGGGUUAAGCAAUUCGUCGAGCGGCCGACGGGGGAGGUCGCUGGCGACGGCAGAGGAGAGACUGAGGCGGCCACAUUGCUCGAGCACGGGGCGUUUCUGGCCAUGUGGUUGAGCAAAUACGUGCUCCCGGUGCCGCCAUUCGACGUUGUCAGACCGGACAUGUUCCCCCUCGCCGCCGGACUGGCGCGCGGCAGGUGCUCGGCCCUCGCGCCAGCCGUUCUUGCCAACAUUUACAACGACCUCUCCGCCCUCAAGCACUACUUAAACUUGAGCAAGAGCCAUCAGCCAUUCGUGGCAGGUGCGCCACUACACAUCCUCCAGCUAUGGGUCUGGGAGCGCUUCCCGGAGCUUCGCCCUGCGAUCAACUCCCACGGUGGUGAUCCCGGCAUGCCGAGGGCUACCAAGUGGCACAACAUCAGAAACCCGCUUGAUCCUGGCUACAUCCACGCUGUAUUCAUGUCCCCGGAGGAGUUCAAAUGGAGACCUUACGGAGGCAGUAGCUUUGCUCUGCCACAAGGCAGAAGUGGCUGCUGGGUGCACUGCCAUGAAGUAGCAACAAGCAAGGGAUUGCAAUCCUUUGCGCAAUGCCUCCGACCUUGCGAACUUGUCGGCAUGCAAUGCGUCGAGCAGUACUGUCCGCACCGCGUCGCAAGGCAGCUCGGCUUCGAUCAGGACGUACCUGGGACUGUUGCCCAUGCCAACUCAAGUCGAAAGAUGGCGUGGGCAACAUACAAGAUGCAGCCUGAAAACAUGUCGUUCUUUGCUCCGCAACACGAUCCGGGCAUGACAGUUCAAUACGCACAAUGGUGGAAGCCUUACUCGUCGGCAUGUGCUGUUGCUGUUGCUAAUGCUGCAAACAUGAAACAACUUAAUGUUGUAGUUAGUCCAAGAAAGAUGAAAGCUGAAGGUCUCAGUGGUGUAGAUUGUGGCAAAAAGCGUCACUUGGAGGCUGGGAUGACUCUGCAAGAUGAUACAGAGGACAAGAUUCCGUUGGCGGAGAGUCCGAAACUCCGAAUAGUGUCAUUCGAAAGGCACAAAGGCAGGAUACAGAGACACAUUUUGAAAGAUGACAAGACAAAGCAAAAUUCAGAAACCGUGAAGGAUUUGGUGCCAAGAUGGGCAGGAAAAGGCAGACGUAGGGCAAUUUCACGCAGAGUUGCUGUGAAAGCUUCGUCUGAUGCAGAGGCAGUUUUGGUGAGUGAAGUUGAUAAACCAUCGUGUGGGCCGGUCUCCAAGAAUGAGAAUUUUGAAGAGCAAGCACCAAGCUCGGUUAUCCCGUAUGAUGAGAAGAAUCUCAGUUCAGAGCAUGGGGAAGUCGAGGGUGCAGCGAGCGCUAGAAGCAACAAAGGCAUUAGAGCUGCAAUUGGAGUGGACGUAUGUUCAAAUCUUCCAGACAUCUUGGCCAUCAGUGGUAAUGAGUUGGAUGAAAUAUUCAGAAAGGAUAGCGAGGCGAGUGCAAUUUAUAUGGACUUGUCCAAGUUGACGAUGGCAACCUCCAACUCAGACCAGCCAAAUGAAGAACGACAUCUGGUCACCAUAAGAAGAGAUGAGUCAAAGGAUAUCAUGGUCCAAAACAAUAGUGAUAUCACUCUCAGACAAGGACCAGUUAAUGUAACUCAUGUCACUAAUGUUGAUGUCUUAGAUGGAUACAUUGAUGAAAUGCAGACACGCAAUGUAAUGGAAGAGGGAGAUCAGAGAGCGAAGGUGGACAGAGAAAACUCAACUCUUCUCGAAGGAAACAAUGAUGCAUCUUAUAAUGGUCUAGUAUAUGGAAAUAAUGAACUGGUCAAGAGAGUAAUUUCUACUAAAACACUCUACUAUCUUAGACCAUUCAAGCGGGUGAAGGAGCUCAGGUCAGAGAUUCAAGAGCCACAAAUGCAGGUCAAGUAA